CCAAGGAAAACAUUUGGAGGCAACUCGCUAAAUUGAGACAAGUCUAAACAAACAAAAAGCUAAGACACAAAGCCAAACAUUUCAGGAACCAAGAAGAUUCAAUGAGAGAAAAGAUUUAAAGUAGAAGAAAGUGGGUGACCCAAGUGAAUUCCCUUAUUUAGGAUUCUGACCCUUACUCUUGCUUUUUUAGGACACCUAUGGCUCUUGGGCUGGGUGUGUUUGAAGGGGCCAGUUCUGAGUGUACCAUGACUGUCUUCCAUAUGUAGGCUUUGUUAUUUUUACAUGGGGACCCAAACAUCUCAGAGAACACUGCAUUUGGAGAUAGUUUUCAUCCCAUGGAGAGCUUAGAGUAUAAUAAUUUGGAUCAAGAAAGACAGAUAAGUUUUUGGGUAGAUCACAUGAAAAAAGCAUAUGAAAAAAUUUGAAAAUCUUAAGGGGGACUUUCAACAACAUGGAAGACUGAGAAGACAAGGAUGCAAAUUCAAGUGCUGGAAAAAAGAUUUCUCUACCAAUUAUUUAGUACAUAGCUCAAAAAAUGAAAAGGAAAUCCAAAGUGGCAGAAGUUAAGAAAGACUCCAAAACCAGAACAAGCAAUCAGGAUCUCCAGGGAAAAAUAGGCUCUGCAGAAGAUGAGUUCACAAAUUAAAAAAUUACAAACCACACGAGGAAAUGAAUCACCAUGAAGGAGAGUCAAGACAUAAAAACAAAUGAAAACUAGCUACCCAGGUUUUGAGCAUAACACAUUUGAGACGAUGUAGAUUUUUUAAGAA